rnacentral:lncRNA from 1 species
UCCCUCUCUUCCUUUCCAUGUCCAAAAGUUGGGUGCCUCUCUUCCAUACGCCCAAAAGCAGUGUUGGUGACUUGAAAAUUAUAGAUCGAAGAGAAAAAGAAGAAGACUGCAGAUCAAAGAGUUGAUCUUGCAGUUAAGAUCAAAGGAGUUGAUCAAAAUUCAAAGGCUGAGAUUCUUCUUGGGAAGAAGAAUCUUCUACGAGGAGAAAGAAGUUCGAGAUCGAUCCCGAUGGAUAUCUGUAGAGGUUGGAC